rnacentral:lncRNA from 1 species
UCUAUACUAUAUUUGCAAUUUGUGUCUUAAUUUAAAAAUCACCUCAAAACCAAAAGUGUGAGCAUCUUGAGGAGAAGACCUUGGCAGUCAGGGUACAUUUUCUAGCUAUUUGGUUAUAAAAUAUCUUUGAAAGAACUGGGUGAACAAAUAUAAAGAAAUGUCAGUGAAUUUUAAACCAGGAAAGUGUCUACAGAGACUGAUCUAUUAAAAAAAAAAAGAAAGAAAAAGAAAAGAAAAGAAAGAAAGAAAGAAAGAAACAACAUGAUCUUGCUGCUGGUUCUGCACUGGCAGCCCUUCUCUCCACUGUUUCCUUCCUUGAUGAUGCUGAUAAAGAGGAAGAGCUAGCUAUGCGGGGAGUGGGGGACAUAAAGCCUGUAUCACUAGCAAAGGACAGGAUACUUGUAUAUAGUAUAACUACAUGUCAUUUGUUUUAAAAAGAAUCAAAUCAUAAAUAAAUGAGUCACAUUUGUACAUGCUCUCAGUUGGCAUGACAGUGAUUUUCAAAAUAUUUAGGACCAUUACCAAGCCUCUAUUAAAUGUUUCAGAAGGGAUCUGUUCUGAAUAACAUUAUUAAUAUUUACUAAAUAUAUUUUG